GAUGAACGCUGGCGGCGUGCCUAAUACAUGCAAGUCGAGCGAACGGACGAGAAGCUUGCUUCUCUGAUGUUAGCGGCGGACGGGUGAGUAACACGUGGAUAACCUACCUAUAAGACUUGGGUAACUUCGUGAAACCGGUGCUAAUACCGGAUGAUAUUUUGAACCGCAUGGUUCAAAAGUGAAAGACGGUCUGGCUGUCACUUAUAGAUGGUUCCGCGCUGCAUUAGCUAGUUGGUAAGGUAACGGCUUACCAAGGCAACGAUGCAUAGCCGACCUGAGAGGGUGAUCGGCCACACUGGAACUGAGACACGGUCCAGACUCCUACGGGAGGCAGCAGUAGGGAAUCUUCCGCAAUGGGCGAAAGCCUGACGGAGCAACGCCGCGUGAGUGAUGAAGGUCUUCGGAUCGUAAAACUCUGUUAUUAGGGAAGAACAUAUGUGUAAGUAACUGUGCACAUCUUGACGGUACCUAAUCAGAAAGCCACGGCUAACUACGUG
rnacentral:rRNA from 1 species